rnacentral:rRNA from 1 species
UACGUAGGGUGCAAGCGUUGUCCGGAAUUAUUGGGCGUAAAGAGCUCGUAGGCGGUUUGUCGCGUCUGCUGUGAAAACUCGGGGCUUAACCCCGAACUUGCAGUGGGUACGGGCAGACUAGAGUGUGGUAGGGGAGACUGGAAUUCCUGGUGUAGCGGUGAAAUGCGCAGAUAUCAGGAGGAACACCGAUGGCGAAGGCGGAUCUCUGGGCCUGUCCUGACGCUCAGGCGCGAAAGCUAGGGGAGCAAACAGG